rnacentral:rRNA from 1 species
UUUAGAUGGCGACCGGCGCACGGGUGAGUAACACGUAUCCAACCUGCCGAUGACUCGGGGAUAGCCUUUCGAAAGAAAGAUUAAUACCCGAUGGCAUAAUUCUUCCGCAUGGUAGAACUAUUAAAGAAUUUCGGUCAUCGAUGGGGAUGCGUUCCAUUAGGUUGUUGGCGGGGUAACGGCCCACCAAGCCUUCGAUGGAUAGGGGUUCUGAGAGGAAGGUCCCCCACAUUGGAACUGAGACACGGUCCAA